CAUCUUCCUUCCCCGUUCUCUCUCCAUUUUCCAGAAACCCUAAAAUCGCAAGCCGCCUCCUCCUGUACAAACACACAUUCUUAUGAAAUCAGAGAGAUGAAACUUCGGUGUAGUUGCAGUCGGUGGAAAAAAGAUCCAGAUGAAGAUGGAGCGGUGGAGAUACACGAGCCAGAAGGAUGAAGCCUUGCAGAUCUGAGUUUUUAGCUACAUUCAAGAACGGUACAAAAACAUUCUUGCGUCAAUAAGAAUGAUGAAGCUUCGGUGUAAUUGAAAUCAGAUGAAGAUGGCAAGCAAAACUUUGCAGAUCUAAGACUUUUUCUUUCUCUAAUAACUUUGCAGGAAACAAGCAGAGCUAGGGAAUAUGACAAGCCCGGAUCUGAUAGGUUUGCUUCUGUAUGGUUGCAAUCGGUGGAUGAAGAUGCAAAUCAGAUGAAGAUGGAGUGAUGGAGAUGACAAGCAAAACUUUGCAGAUCUGAGUUUUUAUGGUUGUAAACCCUAUAUACUUUUACGAAACUUCUAAUUUGUUUUUGAAAUUUUUGAUUUUUUCAGUUGUUUAGUGGAUGAUUGUGGCAUUAGCUUCACUUGAGAUGUGAUUUCUUGUAUGUUGAAGGCUAUGAUGAUUUAGCUCUCCGCUUUAGCAGGGUGCAAGUUAAGAUGCACGUGCAAUGCUCUUGAUGAAGGAUAGAGUUAGGGCCACUAUUGGUGUAGUUUCCUACCCUAAGUUUCAAGCGGGUUCUAUUUCUAAAGCCGGCUUACAAUCCGUACACUGAGCCGAGCAAGAAAUAUACACCAGGCCAACUAUGAUACUUUAUGGCAUUGAUAACAUCCGAGAUCUCUUCGGUCACAAGGUGGAUCUUGGCCUCGUUAAGAGUAACCCUAUAUGUCGUAUUGGCUUAUAAUACAAAUGCUAGGAUGAAUGGUCGGUUAAAAAACAUUAACUAUCAGUUUUUGAUUUUGGCUGCAUAAUAUGCUAUAUUUGCAGUCUGAUCCAAACAUAAAGAGUUUCAGUCUUUGGCUGCUACUGUUCCUGAUUAUGCAAGGCCAAUGGAUGACGGGAUUUAUCGCAUUGUUGAUAUAUAGCUAAAAGUAAGAAGUAGCUCAGAACUAAAGGUGGAAAUAUGGACGGGUUGGGUAACAAGUCAAAAUCGGGUAAUUUCUGGGACAGGCCUAACAAUAAACAGGCCAGGGAGGAGAAAUGCAUUCCGACCGCAAACAAUUAAGGAACUAAUUCACGCUUUCAAUGAUGCUAGAGAUGAUAGUACAAUAGGAGUUAUUAUUCUCACUGCAAAGGGAACCAAAGCUUUCUGUAGUGGUGGUGAGCCGAGGCAAGAGACACGAGCUUGUUAAACGACAUGUUUCGAGUAACCGACAGGAAGAUAUUAUGCUGGAAACAAACACAUCGAUGAACUGGAAACACUUUGUCAAAAGAGGUCCUUAGCAGCGUUUCACUUGGAUGAAAAUAAGUGGGGUGUAAAUAUUCAACCGUUAUCGGGAUGUUCAUAGAUCAGCGGUUGAGAGACAACUGGGCUUUGAUUCAUGCCGUUGAUCAAGCUAACAGGCUCAAUGUGCCUGUUGCGGACUUGCGGUUGCGUUUAAUUUGUUCGAUCAGUUUCUUGGUGCAAAAGCUCGUCAGUUGGGGUUUAUGUUUAGGGGGUUGCAGCAGCUGAGUCAUGAGAUUGAAGAGACGCUUCAUAUACCUUUUUUCUUGUUUCAGGGAGAGGCCGUUGACACUAUUCCAAGUUUUGUUAAAGAAUGUGGAGCUUCACUUUUGAUAACCGACCCAUUUACCACUUUUGUUAAAGAAUUUGGAGCUUCACUGUUGAAAUAGCGGUCUAUCUAAAUGACAAGGGCUUCGCAUUUUUAAACAAGUAAAAGAUAAUAAUUCAAGUGAUUGGCAGUAGGGUGGUCGACCAGCUAUAAUGGAAGUUGGUGCGGUUAAGCGAACUUCAGAGGCCGUAUUUAGCACUUUCUAAUUGUCCUAGAAAAGGUACAUAGAAGAGACUGGUCAUACCUCUUAAAAAACAGUCUGGCAUCACAUAAUGUAUAGCUUUGGAAGUUACCAACUGAAUUCAUUCUCGAGGCGUGCAUUGCUACGUCAAAAGAGGCAGGCUGCAAGGUUAGACAACCUCCUAUAUACCCCAGGUGCAGAUUUUUCAUGUUUUUCUGACUGGCCCUGGAGAUUAUUGUAUUGGGGCAUUUGUAACUCAUAGUCUAUAUGAGUCAAUUACGGAAGCCUUAGAUAGCGAUUUAGGCACCAAAAAGGUGAAUUUUUUUCAGUUUGACCCAUUUAGCCCAAUUUUUAGUUAAUUUAUCUUUAUUUUAUCCAUUUGGCCCACUUUUUUGUUAAAAAGAUUACUUUAAUCCUACAAAAGAAUACAAGAAUUUAUCUGGAUCUUAUGGCUACAAGGAUUGUGAUGAUAACAUUUAAGAAGUAUUUACAUCACUGCAAUACCAUUUUUGUUCUGUUUUGUUGGCUUAAGAUUCAAGUGGAAGCAUAGCAAUUUCAACUUGUUUGUAUUAAAAUUGGUUGAUUCAGGUUGUAUUUGUUUGAUAACAGGUCAAACGGGUUAAAAUUCUUGUAAAUUAUUAUUAUAUAAAAAAACUUUUUUUUAUUA